CAUGUUGCGGCGCUUGGGGCGGGCGGCGGUGCGCGCCGCGCUCAGCGCCUCAGCGCCUCCACAGCAGCGCCCGGCGCCGCGCCACGCGUGCACCGCACCGCCGGACAGCGUGGGGCGGCUGCAGCCGUCGCAUUACCGCCUGGUGUACACCUGCAAGGUGUUGCACAUCAGCAGCUGAUUGCAGUGCUCUUGGAGGUGCAUGGCAUGGCAGCUGAGCAGAAGAGGCAAUUGGGACCACCUGAGGACAUGGCCCUGACCACAGGGGAGGCGGAUCUUUCUGGGAAGAAAGGAAAAAGCCUGCUGGAGCUGCGUUAUGAUGAGCACCAGUGAUGCCCAAGCCUGGAACAGCAGAGCAUGGUACAAGCUAGGUGGGUAUAUACGUGGCUGUGCACAUCCUCCUGCCUGAUCUCCAGCUCUCUACCUGGCCCAGGAAGGAGGCAGAGGUUCAGCUCAGCCUUCUGUGCAGCAGGAAACACAUCUGCUUCAGCAGAACUCAUUACUGGAGUUUCUGAAGUCCAGGACAGCCUCUCUGGUCAAGCAUUCCGCCUCCUGAAGUUUGAUCUCUGCUGUCCUCCUCUCUGGAAAAAACAAAACUGGUGAAGAUGUUCCAGGAAAUGAUCCAGAACAAUUUGUGUCAUCUCAUGACGCAGAUGUGACUGCAAAAAUGUCCCUUUCCCUAUUAAAAGUAUUUUAGAAAUAAAGAAGAUCGAGGCUGCAUUUAACUACCUGCUCUAGGCUCCUCCUUCAGCUGACAGUGUGAGUUCCUGGAGUUUUAGGUGACAAGCAAAAGGACUGCCAAGGUCUUCUUCCCUUGAGCUGUGCCCAUUGUUACAGAGGCUGCAUCUCCUAAAAAACCCUUGUUUAAAAGCCAUCCCCUCCUCUGAACACCAGGUGCAGUGCAGUUGAGGUGCAGAUCCUGGGAGAAGUCUGGUGGUGCAGGAGCACUCUGUUUGAAACCACCUACACUUAAGUUCUUUUUGAAAAAACAAAUGAAACCAAAACAAACCCCCCAAAUCAACCCCGGUUCUUAGCUGGAACCAGGCCUUUGCUGCUCCUCUUCUGCCUCCUCUUGUGCUGAGGCCAGGUCUACCCUCUGCUCAUCCAUGCGUUUGGCCUGGACCCGCUGGAUGAGGCUGAAGAAAUCCUCAUCUGGCAUGGUGGGACCACGGGGGAUGGAGUCUGGUGGUGCACAGCGCUGGUCGUCUAUCCUGGAGGACUACAGGGGAAGAGCAGGGGUUAGGGCUGCGUGCUGACAGCCUGCAGGUGGGCAGCUGCUGCCCACAGCCCACAGCCAGCCUGGUGAGAGCAAGGGGGCAUUGCUUGCUGAUGGCGGAGAAAGUAGCCUAUCCCUCCCUCCUGCUCAGCCCUGCUGUACCUGACACUUCAUCAGCAUGUUGAAGAACUCAUCCCCAGGCUCCUGGGCGUCCCCCUCCAUGCACAGGUGCCCCAGGUUGUUGUGUGUUAUCCGCAGGCCUGGCAGGUUGCCCACAUUGGCACGCUGGUCAUCCAGCCGUCUGCUCUGCGAGCUGGCGAUGAGAUCGAAGAACUCCUCCGUCUGUGGGGAUGCCAUCAGGGAGGAGUGUGCUGGGAGGGGGGAGAGGAGCACACCAGGGUCACAUCUCUGCUCACCACAGAGUCUUCUCAAGUUCUCACCAACAGACUUAAGCCCCUGUUUGAGAAGCCUCCCAGGGCUGAGCUGGGUAGGACCCCAGCUUCUGUGACCAGCACCAUUCCCUUCCACCCUGUGCAAUAAGCAGGAACAAUCCCAGUGCCAACAACGCAAGCAAGCAAAAACCUACCACCAAAGCAGAGACCCAAGCAUGCAACCACUCACACCCUUCUCUAGUGCCUCUGCUGCAUUGCCUAGUAUGUAGGGUAAGGCAGAGACCUUGGCAGGAUGCUGCUGCUGCCUUGGUUUCCACCCUGGUGCAGGCAGCAGCAGUUGCAGGUGAGUGUACAGUUCCUGUGCACUGCUGUGGUUCCUUACUGGACACUGCACAUGGUGCCAAGGGCUGGGUAUAAUUGCAGGCAUGUAAUGUGCAAAGCCAAGGCCUGACUAAGCCACCCAUCCCAGCAAUGCCCCAGCCAGGGCAGCACGCAAUGCAUGGGGCCUCCUGGCUCCUAGCAGCUGCUGGGCAGCAAAACAUUCACACAACAAGCACUGCACUUGGGAUGGGGACAAGCAAGGGGAGCUGUAAGAAAUCCAGCCUGGUGGGCAUCGCCUCAGGGAGCACAAAGCACAUGAGGGUCCCCCAAGAUCCUGACACUGCUGCUCUGACAGCCCCAGCUCCUGGAGUUGUAGGAAUGCACAGUAACUGCAGCACUGACAAAGAAACUUCAAACAACGCGUCCAAAAAGCUCAGAGACCAAGUGAUGGAUGAACAGAAAGCAUGCCUACUUGAACGCUCUUAAUAAAGCUCCAUACUCAAACUCACCCUUAAGUCACACAGCUGUUACAGCCAAAUGCAUUUCUACAUCAGAAACACAUCUUGAAAAAGCGAUGUUCAUUUCCACCUUAUUUUUAGCCCAGAAGAAAUGGCUCACCUGGGAGCACACAGCAGGACCUGCACACCCCAGCACUUCGCUCCUGUUUGCUUUAAUCAGAGCACCUCAACACGCUGUCAUCAAAACAGACGCAAACCCGAAGCGCAGACACAGCCCUGGCCUGCCUUCCCCAUCCCAUCUAUUUGUCAGAUGGUUUCCUCCAUUUAUCCCUGUUCUUCCCACAAGCAAAGCUUGCUGUCUGCACACCCGGAGCUUCCUCUUGUUUAUCCAUCCGCCCUGCUGCCUUCUCUGUCCUUACGCAACACCUAUCACUGCAGCAUCCAACAACUGGACAAAACCCAGAAGUUUUUCCACUGUGGUCACACAGAACGCCCAGCAGUACCUUCCCCUCCUGCCAGAGCCCACCCGGGCCAUUGCACAGCAGCACCACGCAGCCGGCCAUGCCGUGGGAGCAGCACGACCCGGAGUCACAGCGACUUAUCAACACCUCCACGCUUACGUAUCCGUUCUUCCAGGGCUGGGACUGGUGUGGCUGCUGCCUCCGCAGCCUCCGACGGGCACUCCUCCAGCGGGCAGCGCUGAUCGUCCAUCCGGUUGCUCUGGAACUUGCUCAGCAGGUCAAAGAAGCAUUCCUCAUCCGAAGGGGUCCGGUUGAUCUUCUGCAAAGACAAUAAAACACAAAAGAGUCAGCACGUCCCAACCGCCUCUCACCGCGUGGCCUCGGCAAUGCUCCCACCCUGCCCUGCCCAGAGCUGGGCUCCACGCACUGCACCUGCCCAGACUCACUGCCUCUGAGUCUCAGUGCUCCUGGCUCAGAAACGGCCUCUCCUUUCCCUCUUUCCUCACUACCCUUUGGUUUGGACAAUCCAAGGGGUGGGAGAACCCAGCGGGUGCCCCUAUGGGGUGCUGCCACGUGCCAGGCUCAGGCACGCUGCCCAUCCCUCCUUCCCGAGCUGCUAAAGGUACCCUCUGCAGACCACAGCCCCCAGCUUCCUUCCGACUCACCAUAGCACCCUGCUUGCUCCAGUCCUCACCAAGCUGCAAAUGCCACAGAAUUACAGUUCUUCAGGAAAACAGUUCUUGCAUGAGAGCCCCAAAUAAGCACCUUGCACCAGACAGCGAUAUAUUUAAGCUGUGCUGCUGAAGGGUUAGCACUCACAGCAGCCUCUAAUUCAUGUGCCGUGCCGGAGAUGGGGUGGGUGCUGUGUCGGGAGGGUGAGCCCAGGUCCUGUGCUCACUGCUGCACAGCAGAGCUCUCUGCAGGGCCUCUGGUGAGGGUGUGCAGUGCUGCUCCCAGCACAGGGCUGCUCCCAGGGCACCGGCACGCAGAGUGCUUCCAGGGAGCCCUGUGCUGGGGGAGAGCUGUGUGCUGACAGGGUUAAAGCUGCCACACAGAGUCAGUAAACGUAGGAAAACAAUUUUCCCCGUAUGCUAAGCGAAGCAGAUGAGAUGCACUCAGCUUCUAUUUAGGGCAGUGUCAAAAUUAGCAGCGGGCCAGAGAGGAACAUUGGCAAUGUGGGAGCAGAGAGGGGAGGGAGAAUCCCUUCUCACCUCCUCCCAGGUGCUGACCAAUGGAUCAGCAGCACAGACAGACCCUCCGGACCAUCAGCCUCUGAAACCACAACCUGAAUGAGCUUCAGCCAAGGAUGAACAGCAUCUAUCCCAG
rnacentral:lncRNA from 1 species